GCAGUGUUUUGGCCAAUGCACGGUCAUGGGGAGUGAAGAUUCUGUAUGUGGACGAUGUCAUUUUAUAUUUGAAACAUUUGACACGAGAAAGCUUUAGGCCAAAACAGAAAAGGCCUGAGCGGACUUACACCAAACCACAAGCAUCUCCUGUUGUCAAAGCUGCAGCUUUGAGAUCUCCCUAUAUUAAAAUUGAAGACUUGAGCAGGAAAUACAAGCC